CCUGGAGGAAGACUGGACUCAUCUCAUUACCACUGGACUUCCUACAGGACCAUCUCUACUCCACAGAACCACAUCCCUUACUCCAGAAGGGCCUAUUUGGACUGCUUCCAAUGCCCUGAGCAAGAGGGUGCCAGGUGACACAGUUCCUCUAGAGCCUGCAGUGGGUUCCUGGCCACGCCAUCAGCGCCCAUGGGGAGGAAAUGUGACCCCGUGCAGAACGAAGCAAACUUCCUACCCCCGGCCUUGAAUUACUGGAACUGCAAACAAUUUGCAUUAUUCACAGAAAACAGGCCUUUCCUCAAGAUCCCUUCUGCCAGCAGCAGUGGUGAAGCAUCAACUGCACAGGCUAUACUCCUUGCUGAGGUUGUUGCUAAUAUGCAUCACAAUGAGAGAACUGCUCCCUCUUCCUCAUCGACAGAAGAGGAUUCAAACAUCUCCCUUCUGGAGAAAGCAGAAGGCCUGGAUUAACAAAAGGAACUCUGCUCUUCACCAGACUGAUGUCUGUGGAUGUGCAAUACUGCCAUCUCCCAGGGCUACUCUGCUCUGAUCUUUCUGGCUGAUCUUGAAUUAAGGUCUUGGAAGAUGAGACGGUGCAGCUGGCAGGAUGAAAUAGGAGCAGCUGGAAAAGGAAGAUUUCGGUCCUCCAUAUUAAAGCAUUUGACAUUUGGUAUCUGGGGGAAACACUGUUUAGAGCUAAUAAAUAACUCACCAACGAUGACAACCUGUAA